AGUCUCGACUGAAUUCUAGAAGCUUGGAAAGGUUAAUAUAGUGUCUUCACCUAAACCGAAGCAGGGUUUAAGCUGCAGCCUGGCACAAGCAGGUUUGAUGCUCAUUUGGAGAUGAUUAUGAAGACUCUUGAAGCUGAAUUUGGGCUGAAUUGAGUAGGACCCAACUUGGGUUAAAGCAGAGGUUUAGUUUAGACUAAACCUAGGGAAUUUGGAUACUUUGGAUUGCCUACAAGUGUGAGAACAACAAGAACUGUCAUCGAGCAGGUGGGUUGGACCUUCCUGAAAUGAGUGAAUUCCAUCUAUGUCUCCUUUGACAUUAUAAGUGAAUGUAUUGCAUGCUUGUGAGAACAUGAGUGUAAUUGAGGAAAUUGAGACAUGGAUCCAUGUAAAUACCGUAAUGGUUAUAUUAGCAUCUCUAUGCAGGAGAGAAGGAAUUAUGAAAUUGCCUAUUUCUUAUAGAUCAUUUAACUUUAUUGGACAACAAGGGCCAAGGGAAUUAUGUACAUGGGAGGAAGUCCU